rnacentral:rRNA from 1 species
AGUGAACGCUGGCGGUAGGCCUAACACAUGCAAGUCGAACGGCAGCACAGUAAGAGCUUGCUCUUACGGGUGGCGAGUGGCGGACGGGUGAGGAAUACAUCGGAAUCUACUUUUUCGUGGGGGAUAACGUAGGGAAACUUACGCUAAUACCGCAUACGACCUACGGGUGAAAGCAGGGGAUCUUCGGACCUUGCGCGAUUGAAUGAGCCGAUGUCGGAUUAGCUAGUUGGCGGGGUAAAGGCCCACCAAGGCGACGAUCCGUAGCUGGUCUGAGAGGAUGAUUAGCCAGACUGGAAGUGAGAAAGGGCCCAGACACCUGCGGGAGGACGCAGUGGGGAAUAUUGGACAAUGGGGGAAAGCCGGAUCCAGCAAUACCGCGUGGGUGAAGAAGGCCUUCGGGUUGGAAAGCCCUUUUGUUGGGAAAGAAAAGCAGCAGGUUAAUACCCCGCUGUUCUGACGGUACCCAAAGAAUAAGCACCGGCUAACUUCGUG